rnacentral:lncRNA from 10 species
AGCCUGUGACACAGACUUGAUGUGAUUAAACAAAGGCUUUUCUCCAAAUUUAAAGCUCUUAAAAAAAAAAGCUGAAUCUAAUACUCUAACUUGUUUUUAAAUGGGAGCAGAUGCCUCUGUUUCUUGAGCUGACUUCCAGAUUCUGAGAAAUAAAUGAAGAGUGGAGGCUUGUUUUGGUAGAGGCUGAGAAAAGGAGUUGGCCAUAUUUGCCCUUCAGAACUUCGUGUCAUCCCCCAGCUCCCCAACGGCAGGGCCACAUUCUUUCACAGGACGGAGUUGGGGCAGAUUAUGGCUUCCUCUGGAUUGGAUUUCCCUUGGCUUCCCUGAGGGCAAUCCCCCGAGGAAGCACAUCCUGGAGCCAAACUCACCCAAUGAACCACAGCAACAGCUCCUAGGAGAAUGAAGAGUGUGAAUGGAUGGCCUUUUCAAAAUGAUGAGCCUGGAAGAGUUACAGACUCUGGCCCGAAAGAACCAAAGUUGAAGGUAGAGAUGUUUUAAGGAUGAGCAGAGCAGAACAACUUAGCAGUGGGAUGUUAAAGGCAACAUGAAUCAAACAUGGUAAUUAGAAACCAGGAAGACUGAGAAGGAAUCAAAUUUGCAGCAGCUCAGUAAGUGGUAGACUGGGAACAAGAAGCCAGUUCUCUGGGCUCUUGAAGCAAGGCCCUGCCACGUUGUCUUUCCCCAGGAGAGGAGGUCAUAAGACAUUCAUUCCAGAGAGAGUCCUGCCCCACCUCUGAGAAGGAAGGAAUGUACACUCAAGAGAGAUCAAGAAGAAUCUAAACAAACAGGCCCUUCUGCGUUUUCCCACAAGAGAAAAUGAUCUAAUUAACAUUCGAUCAUAACUUUUUGUCCAAUUAUAUUUCUACACUGCUGUUCAUACUUUAUUUAACCUAGGCAUAAAAAUUGACAAUUUUUAUUGUAUUUUUGGCUCUUCAUUCUGAAGGCUUCCAUGUAUACAUGUUAAAUAAAUUUGUACACCUUUUCUCCAA